rnacentral:rRNA from 1 species
UACGGAGGAUCCAAGCGUUAUCCGGAUUUAUUGGGUUUAAAGGGUGCGUAGGCGGUUUAUUAAGUCAGUGGUGAAAGCCCGGAGCUCAACUUCGGAACUGCCAUUGAUACUGAUAGGCUUGAGUACAGAUGAAGUGGGCGGAAUGUGACAAGUAGCGGUGAAAUGCUUAGAUAUGUCACAGAACACCGAUUGCGAAGGCAGCUCACUAAAGUGUAACUGACGCUGAGGCACGAAAGCGUGGGGAUCAAACAGG